UAAAUAUUUAUAUUCAAAGUGGUAAAAUUUCAGAUCAGGCCACGUCCUGAUUCAUUCAAAGAACAUUUUACUUAAAAAUUCUGAUGUCACGCGCAGUUUGUCAACAAUACCAGCUGAAAUAAAAUUAAAACAAGUCAUUUCUUUACAAGUCUCUUUAAUAUCAGCGAUCUAUAAUCAUCAAAUAUCACUUACUGGCAAAUUAUAAUCAAAUAUACCAAGCAAGCCUCACUACAGAAUCGACCUUAGAGUUAAAUAAAAUAAGUCGGACUAUAAGUGUAGGUAUACAAGUUAUUUUAUCUAUAUCUCCAGAUAACACUACGCCCAAUUGUUGACAAUCGGUUUAAAUAACAAAUUUUCCUAUUCAAUCCUAUAACGGCAUGCUUUCUACAUUUACUUACUCCUGAAAAUUUCAUCCAAUUCGACUAAAAAUUAGAAAUUACUUGUAAAUUACCAAUUUAACAUUAAAAACAAAAAUUGUUGAUUACCCUGCACUUCUGUAGAUUUGAUUUUGUCAUUAAUUUGAUGUGCAUGCGUAAACGCCACACAUUAGAUAUUUUGAUAUAAUCUUUUAACAUUGCUAAUUUUAAAAAAUUUCUCUAUUCCUUUAUUCAACAUGAAUCGCGGUGGCUGGGAGAGUUGACGAAAUUGAUUAAUGAAGAGACUUGUGGACUCAUCAUAGCAGAAACUGUUUGGAAUCAAAUACUG